AGCCCCAUUUCAGUACCUUCCACUCACCGUGACUGGACGGCUAUGCUAAUGGGGCAGAAUAACACUGUCAUGAUCUGAAGGUGUGGCUGGCUGACUGUGCGCCCCACUCAAUGAAAUGACAAUACAUCUAUCG
ensembl:snoRNA